rnacentral:lncRNA from 1 species
AAGAAUCAAGCCACAGAGGAGACACACGAUUUAAUGUGGAAAAUCCCUCCAAUGUGAAGGGUAAAAACCACGGGCACCAACCAGCAACAAUCUCACUAUCUCAAGAGUUUUGGGUUACACGCCUAUGGCGGCUUACAAGAGAAUCAAGUCUCCACGAAACCCUAGCAAGGGUGUAUAUACUGUACCGGAGUCCCCCGCACCGCCCCCCCCCAAGCACAGGGGCCUCCGGCGACGGGCCUCCGCGCCGUCAGAAGCCCGGCCUAUAUCCUGGAGUGAAUUUGGAACAACUCCAACACUUCAUCCAGUACACAAUCACUUUUCUUUAAUUUUCUUUUCUUUUU